rnacentral:rRNA from 1 species
UACAGAGGUGGCAAGCGUUGUUCGGAAUUACUGGGCGUAAAGGGCGCGUAGGCGGUCUCGUAAGUCCUGUGUGAAAUCCCACGGCUCAACUGGGGAACUGCACAGGAGACUGCUUGGCUUGAGUUCGGGAGAGGGAAGCGGAAUUCCGGGUGUAGCGGUGAAAUGCGUAGAUAUCCGGAGGAACACCGGUGGCGAAGGCGGCUUCCUGGACCGACACUGACGCUGAGGCGCGAAAGCCAGGGGAGCAAACGGG